rnacentral:ribozyme from 1 species
UCUUUCGCGAUCUUCCCUUUUCUUUUCUUCCUCUUUCUCUUUCUUCUUCUUCUUCUUCUUCUGGAUUAAAGGGACAGUCAAGAUCAGACAGAGGAUCAUCAGAGUAAAGGAAAGAAA